UACGGAGGGUGCAAACGUUGCUCGGAAUCAUUGGGCGUAAAGCGCACGUAGGCGGCCUGUUAAGUCGGGUGUGAAAUCCCUGGGCUCAACCCAGGAAGUGCACUCGAAACUGGCAGGCUUGAGUACUGAAGAGGGUCGCGGAAUUCCCGGUGUAGAGGUGAAAUUCGUAGAUAUCGGGAGGAACACCAGUGGCGAAGGCGGCGACCUGGGCAGAUACUGACGCUGAGGUGCGAAAGCGUGGGGAGCAAACGGG
rnacentral:rRNA from 1 species